UGGGGUGUAGCUCAAUCGGCAGAGCGCCGCACUGUUAAUGCGGAUGUUGGUGGUUCGAGUCCACCCGCCCCAG
rnacentral:tRNA from 2 species